rnacentral:tRNA from 1 species
UGGGGAGUGGUGUAACGGCAGCACAGGUGCCUUUGGAGCAUCUUGUCCUGGUUCGAAUCCGGGCUCCCCAG